rnacentral:rRNA from 1 species
UACGAAGGGGGCUAGCGUUGUUCGGAAUUACUGGGCGUAAAGCGCACGUAGGCGGAUAUUUAAGUCAGGGGUGAAAUCCCAGAGCUCAACUCUGGAACUGCCUUUGAUACUGGGGAUCUCGAGUCCGGAAGAGGUUGGUGGAACUGCGAGUGUAGAGGUGAAAUUCGUAGAUAUUCGCAAGAACACCAGUGGCGAAGGCGGCCAACUGGUCCGGUACUGACGCUGAGGUGCGAAAGCGUGGGGAGCAAACAGG